rnacentral:rRNA from 1 species
AACGUAGGUGGCAAGCGUUAUCCGGAAUCAUUGGGCGUAAAGCGCACGUAGGCGGUCUGUUAUGUCGGAUGUGAAAGCCCUUGGCUUAACUGAGGAAGUGCAUCCGAAACUGGCAGGCUAGAGUACUAAAGAGGGUCGCGGAAUUCCCGGUGUAGAGGUGAAAUUCGUAGAUAUCGGGAGGAACACCGGUGGCGAAGGCGGCGACCUGGGUAGAUACUGACGCUGAGGUGCGAAAGCGUGGGGAGCAAACAGG